rnacentral:rRNA from 1 species
AACGCCAGUUUGCGUGGAGCCGACCUUGAAAUACCACCCUUUAAUGUUUGAUGUUCUAACGUUGUCCCGUAAUCCGGGAUACGGACAGUGUCUGGUGGGUAGUUUGACUGGGGCGGUCUCCUCCUAAAGAGUAACGGAGGAGCACGAAGGUUAGCUAAGCAUGGUCGGACAUCAUGCGGUUAGUGCAAAGGCAGAAGCUAGCUUAACUGCGAGACGGACAGGUCGAGCAGAUACGAAAGUAGGUC